AACGUAGGAGGCAAGCGUUAUUCGGAAUUAUUGGGCGUAAAGGGCGCGUAGGCGGCCAUUCAAGUGACGGGUGAAAGCCCUCGGCUUAACCGAGGAACUGCCUGUCAGACUGGAUGGCUUGAGACCGGGAGAGGUGAGUGGAAUUCCCAGUGUAGCAGUGAAAUGCGUAGAUAUCAGGAGGAACACCGAUUGCGAAGGCAGCUCGCUGGGACGUAACUGACGCUGAGACGCGAAAGCGUGGGGAGCAAACAGG
rnacentral:rRNA from 1 species